UUUCUACUCCCUCCGUCCAAAAAUAAUUUUCAUCAAAAUGGAUAAAAAGAGAUGUAUCUAAAACUAAAAUAUGUCUCAAUACAUUUCCUUUUAUCCAUUUUGAUGACAAGUAUUUCCGACGGAGGGAGUAUUUG
rfam:Triticum aestivum genome assembly, contig: Triticum_aestivum_CS42_TGACv1_scaffold_095381_2AL